CACAACGCGCGGUGCGAAGGUGCGUCGGUAAAGAUGUGCCGAGGUGUAGGCAAUCCGGUGGAAAGCCGGAGCGGUCGCGCCACUGUAACCGGAGAUGUCGAAAUCUCCGGAAGCCAGAAAACUCCCGCGGCACAUGACGGAA
rfam:Rhodococcus pyridinivorans SB3094, complete genome.